rnacentral:snRNA from 1 species
UCAACUGAAUAAAAACAGUACA